rnacentral:rRNA from 1 species
CCCCUAGAUGUUCUGGGCCGCACGCGCGCUACACUGAACAGUUCAACAAGUCUUAACCUUGGCCGAUAGGUCUGGGUAAUCUUUGAACGCUGUUCGUGAUUGGGAUAGACCUUUGCAAUUAUGGGUCUUCAACGAGGAAUUCCUAGUAAACGCAAGUCAUCAGCUUGCAUUGAUUACGUCCCUGCCCUUUGUACACACCGCCCGUCGCUCCUACCGAUUGAAUGGUCCGGUGAAGCGCUCGGACCGCGGCCUCUUGACGGUUUUCCGUCGAUUGGCUGUGGGAAGUUCGUUAAACCUUAUCAUUUAGAGGAAGGAGAAGUCGUAACA